UAUAAAUACCCAUCCUGACACUAGAGCUCACCAGACCAGUUGAUUUGUUGAUCAUAUUGGUAUCUGUCCUGAACCAUAGGCAAGAAUGAAGUUACCAAUGUUGUUCUUUUUUCUAGUAAUGGCAUGCAUGUGCUUUGCCUUUCCAGCAGAUGAUGAGCUUCAGAGUCGCUACUUGGUGUUUCCCUCACAGCCAGUGAAUGCAUCUCAGUAUGUGCAAACCUAUGUGCCAUUGUUUGAAGCAUUGUUUGGUGGUCGUCCUUACAUUAUUGGAGGAUAAGUAUGGAUCCAGAUAUCUGAGUCAUAUGCAGAGUAUCUACAUUUAAAGUCAUGAGAUGAGAACUCACUGAUUUUGUAUAAAAUUUGAGUAUAAAUAAACAUCUGAGAGAUCAGUGCUGCUGAAUAAAUGUAUUAAUGGUA